rnacentral:rRNA from 1 species
UACGGAGGAUGCAAGCGUUAUCCGGAAUUAUUGGGCGUAAAGCGUCCGCAGGUGGCUAAUCAAGUCUGCGGUCAAAGACCGGGGCUUAACCCUGGAAAGGCGGUGGAAACUGAAUUGCUAGAGUGUCGUAGGGGUAGAGGGAAUUCCCGGUGUAGCGGUGAAAUGCGUAGAGCUCGGGAAGAACAUCGGUGGCGAAAGCGCUCUACUGGACGACAACUGACACUCAGGGACGAAAGCUAGGGGAGCGAAUGGG